GGGCCGGUAGCUCAGCUUGGCUGGAGCGUUCGGCUGAUAACCGAAAGGUCGAGAGUUCAAAUCUCUCUCGGCCCA
rnacentral:tRNA from 1 species